CGCGACAGUGAAGAAUCUCGCCUCUGCGAUGAUAACUACAAUGAGGUUGCCCACGGCCACUGUGAGCAGCCAGGCAGCCUGCAGGACAGACUUCAUAGACGUGGGUGCCUGCGAAGAGAAACCCCGAGCCCCGUGGCAGA
rnacentral:lncRNA from 1 species